rnacentral:rRNA from 1 species
UCGAACGCACAGCGCAAAGGUGCUUGCACCUUUCAAGAUGAGUGGCGAACGGGGUGAGUAACACGUGGGUAACCUACCUCAAGGUUGGGGAUAACAUUUGGAAACAGAUGCUAAUACCGAAUAAAACUUAGUAUCGCAUGAUACCAGGUUAAAAGGCGCUACGGCGUCACCUAGAGAUGGAUCCGCGGUGCAUUAGUUAGUUGGUGGGGUAAAGGCUUACCAAGACAAUGAUGCAUAGCCGAGUUGAGGGGCUGAUCGGCCACAUUGGGACUGAGACACGGCCCAAACUCCUACGGGAGGCUGCAGUAGGGAAUCUUCCACAAUGGGCGAAAGCCUGAUGGAGCAACGCCGCGUGUGUGAUGAAGGCUUUCGGGUCGUAAAGCACUGUUGUAUGGGAAGAACAGCUAGAGUAGGGAAUGACUUUAGUUUGACGGUACCAUACCAGAAAGGGACGGCUAAAUACGUGCCAGCAGCCGCGGUAAUACGUAUGUCCCGAGCGUUAUCCGGAUUUAUUGGGCGUAAAGCGAGCGCAGACGGUUAAUUAAGUCUGAUGUGAAAGCCCGGAGCUCAACUCCGGAAAGGCAUUGGAAACUGGUUAACUUGAGUGCAGUAGAGGUAAGUGGAACUCCAUGUGUAGCGGUGGAAUGCGUAGAUAUAUGGAAGAACACCAGCGGCGA